UCCGGUUUGUCACCGGCAGUCUCCCAUGAGUCCCCGGCAUUACCCGCUGGCAACAUGGAACAGGGGUUGCGCUCGUUGCGCCACUUAAGGCAACACCUCACGGCACGAGCUGACGACAGCCGUGCAGCACCUGUGCAGGCUCCCGAAGGAGCCCCGUGUUUCCACGGGUUUACCCUGCAUGUCAAGCCCUGGUAAGGUGGGGAUGACGUGUAACCGAAUCU
rnacentral:misc_RNA from 1 species